CCUACGGGAGGCAGCAGUGGGGAAUAUUGCACACUGGGGGAAACCCUGAUGCAGCGACGCCGCGUGAGUGAAGAAGUAUUUCGGUAUGUAAAGCUCUAUCAGCAGGGAAGAAAAUGACGGUACCUGAUUAAGAAGCCCCGGCUAACUACGUGCCAGCCACCGCGGUAAUACGUCGGGGCAAGCGUUUUCCCGAUUUACUGGGUGGAAAGGGAGCGGUGGCGGCAGCACAAAUCUGGAGUGAAAUGGCCGGGCUUAACCCCGGAACUGCUUUGGACAAUGUGCAGCUAGAGUGCAGGAGAGGUAAGUGGAAUUCCUAGUGUAGCGGUGAAAUGCGUAGAUAUUAGGAGGAACACCAGUGGCGAAGGCGGCUUACUGGACUGUAACUGACGUUGAGGCUCGAAAGCGUGGGGAGCAAACAGGAUUAGAUACCCGAGUAGUC
rnacentral:rRNA from 1 species